rnacentral:rRNA from 2 species
CCGUCGGAGAGCUUGCUCGAAGACGGUGAGAGUGGCGCACGGGUGCGUAACGCGUGAGCAACCUACCUCUAUCAGGGGGAUAGCCUCUCGAAAGAGAGAUUAACACCGCAUAACAUAUGUGACCGGCAUCGGUUGGAUAUUAAAUAUUUAUAGGAUAGAGAUGGGCUCGCGUGACAUUAGCUAGUUGGUAGGGUAACGGCUUACCAAGGCGACGAUGUCUAGGGGCUCUGAGAGGAGAAUCCCCCACACUGGUACUGAGACACGGACCAGACUCCUACGGGAGGCAGCAGUAAGGAAUAUUGGUCAAUGGGCGGAAGCCUGAACCAGCCAUGCCGCGUGCAGGAUGACUGCCCUAUGGGUUGUAAACUGCUUUUGUCCAGGAAUAAACCUU